rnacentral:tRNA from 1 species
GGGGACGUGGCGAAGCCCGGUAUCGCGGCAGGCUCCAGACUUGUUGGUCACCGGUUCAAAUCCGGUCGUUCCCA